rnacentral:rRNA from 1 species
CCUACGGGUGGCAGCAGUGAGGAAUAUUGGUCAAUGGACGAGCGUCUGAACCAGCCAAGUAGCGUGAAGGAUGACUGCCCUAUGGGUUGUAAACUUCUUUUAUAUGGGAAUAAAAUGUUCCACGUGUGGGAUUUUGUAUGUACCAUAUGAAUAAGGAUCGGCUAACUCCGUGCCAGCAGCCGCGGUAAUACGGAGGAUCCGAGCGUUAUCCGGAUUUAUUGGGUUUAAAGGGAGCGUAGGUGGAUUGUUAAGUCAGUUGUGAAAGUUUGCGGCUCAACCGUAAAAUUGCAGUUGAAACUGGCAGUCUUGAGUACAGUAGAGGUGGGCGGAAUGCGUGGUGUAGCGGUGAAAUGCUUAGAUAUCACGAAGAACUCCGAUUGCGAAGGCAGUUCACUGGACUGCAACUGACACUGAGGCUCGAAAGUGUGGGUAUCAAACAGGAUUAGAUACCCGGGUAGUC